rnacentral:rRNA from 1 species
GGAAACCGGAGCUAAUACCGGAUAGUUCCUUGAACCGCAUGGUUCAAGGAUGAAAGACGGUUUCGGCUGUCACUUACAGAUGGACCCGCGGCGCAUUAGCUAGUUGGUGGGGUAAUGGCUCACCAAGGCGACGAUGCGUAGCCGACCUGAGAGGGUGAUCGGCCACACUGGGACUGAGACACGGCCCAGACUCCUACGGGAGGCAGCAGUAGGGAAUCUUCCGCAAUGGACGAUAGUCUGACGGAGCAACGCCGCGUGAGUGAUGA